UAAGGUCACGGCGAGACGAGCCGUUUAUCAUGACGAUAGGUGUCAAGUGGAAGUGCAGUGAUGUAUGCAGCUGAGGCAUCCUAACAGACCGAGAGAUUUGAAC
rnacentral:rRNA from 1 species